AGAUACUUGUGAAGAGACAGAGUUUGAGACAGGUGUUUUGGCAAAUUCCCUACCCUUUGCUGAUGGAGCAGCUGCAUAUCCAUAUGCAUAUAAGAAAAAGAGAAAAAAUUCUCAAAGUGAUGAAUCAUCCAACUUCAGAAGAGAGUUUCUGGAGGGGAGAAAGAAAAAAAACAAGGCCGUUGAAGAGUACAGGAAAAAGAUUUUACUCCUGGAAAAAAAGUGCAACAACAGAGUAAAGUCCAGAGGAGAGCAACAACAGCACUGGAAAUCUUGGCCAAAAAAUUUCAGGAAUCUACCCAGUCCCCCUCCCCAUUUUCCGUCUCUCCUCUUAUUAAAUUUAGUUGAUAGUUUAAUCUUUAUAAAU